AAAGUUUGCGGCUCAACCGUAAAAUUGCAGUUGAUACUGGCAGUCUUGAGUGCAGUAGAGGUGGGCGGAAUUCGUGGUGUAGCGGUGAAAUGCUUAGAUAUCACGAAGAACUCCGAUUGCGAAGGCAGCUCACUGGAGUGUAACUGACGCUGAUGCUCGAAAGUGUGGGUAUCAAACAGGAUUAGAUACCCUGGUAGUCCACACAGUAAACGAUGAAUACUCGCUGUUUGCGAUAUACAGUAAGCGGCCAAGCGAAAGCAUUAAGUAUUCCACCUGGGGAGUACGCCGGCAACGGUGAAACUCAAAGGAAUUGACGGGGGCCCGCACAAGCGGAGGAACAUGUGGUUUAAUUCGAUGAUACGCGAGGAACCUUACCCGGGCUUAAAUUGCAAAUGAAUUAUGGGGAAACCCAUAGGCCGUAAGGCAUUUGUGAAGGUGCUGCAUGGUUGUCGUCAGCUCGUGCCGUGAGGUGUCGGCUUAAGUGCCAUAACGAGCGCAACCCUUAUCUUCAGUUACUAACAGGUUAUGCUGAGGACUCUGGAGAGACUGCCGUCGUAAGAUGUGAGGAAGGUGGGGAUGACGUCAAAUCAGCACGGCCCUUACGUCCGGGGCUACACACGUGUUACAAUGGGGGGUACAGAAGGCCGCUACCUGGUGACAGGAUGCCAAUCCCAAAAACCUCUCUCAGUUCGGAUCGAAGUCUGCAACCCGACUUCGUGAAGCUGGAUUCGCUAGUAAUCGCGCAUCAGCCAUGGCGCGGUGAAUACGUUCCCGGGCCUUGUACACACCGCCCGUCAAGCCAUGAAAGCCGGGGGUACCUGAAGUACGUAACCGCAAGGAGCGUCCUAGGGUAAAACUGGUAAUUGGGGCUAAGUCGUAACAAGGUAGCCGUACCGGAAGGUGCGGCUG
rnacentral:rRNA from 1 species